rnacentral:rRNA from 1 species
AGCGAACGCUGGCGGCAGGCCUAACACAUGCAAGUCGAACGAACCCUUCGGGGUUAGUGGCGGACGGGUGAGUAACACGUGGGAACGUGCCUUUAGGUUCGGAAUAACUCAGGGCAACUUGUGCUAAUACCGAAUGUGCCCUUAGGGGGAAAGGUUUAUCGCCUUUAGAGCGGCCCGCGUCUGAUUAGCUAGUUGGCGAGGUAAUGGAUCACCAAGGCUACGAUCGGUAGCUGGUCUGAGAGGAUGACCAGCCACAUUGGGACUGAGACACGGCCCAAACUCCUACGGGAGGCAGCAGUGGGGAAUCUUGCGCAAUGGGGGAAAGCCUGACGCAGUCAUGCCGCGUGGAUGAUGAAGGUCUUAGGAUUGUAAAAUCCUUUCACCGGUGAAGAUAAUGACUGUAGCCGGACAAGAAGCCCCGGCUAACUUCGUGCCAGCAGCCGCCGUAAGAC